GGAAAUAUCGCUACUUUGAUUUAUACGACUAUCCUCAUAGAGCGCUGACUUAUACGUUUCACUUCCCUCAGAUAUAUCCGAGCAGGAAAUAACCUUGAAACUGACUCUGCACGGGUUCUGGGUCGAGACUAUUAGGCUUCGUCUCCCUCGGAUAAAAAGGAAACAAUUUUCAUACAAAUAAAAGAAACAUUAUACGACAUAUUCGUCGUAUAACUGAAACCUAAA
rnacentral:lncRNA from 1 species